rnacentral:rRNA from 1 species
UUAAGCGACUAAGCGUACACGGUGGAUGCCCUGGCAGUCAGAGGCGAUGAAGGACGUACUAAUCUGCGAUAAGCGUCGGUAAGGUGAUAUGAACCGUUAUAACCGGCUAUUUCCGAAUGGGGAAACCCAGUGUGUUUCGACACACUAUCAUUAACUGAAUCCAUAGGUUAAUGAGGCGAACCGGGGGAACUGAAACAUCUAAGUACCCCGAGGAAAAGAAAUCAACCGAGAUUCCCCCAGUAGCGGCGAGCGAACGGGGAGGAGCCCAGAGCCUGAAUCAGUGUGUGUGUUAGUGGAAGCGUCUGGAAAGGCGCGCGAUACAGGGUGACAGCCCCGUACACAAAAAUGCACAUGCUGUGAGCUCGAUGAGUAGGGCGGGACACGUGGUAUCCUGUCUGAAUAUGGGGGGACCAUCCUCCAAGGCUAAAUACUCCUGACUGACCGAUAGUGAACCAGUACCGUGAGGGAAAGGCGAAAAGAACCCCGGCGAGGGGAGUGAAAAAGAACCUGAAACCGUGUACGUACAAGCAGUGGGAGCCUCGUGACUGCGUACCUUUUGUAUAAUGGGUCAGCGACUUAUAUUCUGUAGCAAGGUUAACCGAAUAGGGGAGCCGAAGGGAAACCGAGUCUUAACUGGGCGUUAAGUUGCAGGGUAUAGACCCGAAACCCGGUGAUCUAGCCAUGGGCAGGUUGAAGGUUGGGUAACACUAACUGGAGGACCGAACCGACUAAUGUUGAAAAAUUAGCGGAUGACUUGUGGCUGGGGGUGAAAGGCCAAUCAAACCGGGAGAUAGCUGGUUCUCCCCGAAAGCUAUUUAGGUAGCGCCUCGUGAAUUCAUCUCCGGGGGUAGAGCACUGUUUCGGCAAGGGGGUCAUCCCGACUUACCAACCCGAUGCAAACUGCGAAUACCGGAGAAUGUUAUCACGGGAGACACACGGCGGGUGCUAACGUCCGUCGUGAAGAGGGAAACAACCCAGACCGCCAGCUAAGGUCCCAAAGUCAUGGUUAAGUGGGAAACGAUGUGGGAAGGCCCAGACAGCCAGGAUGUUGGCUUAGAAGCAGCCAUCAUUUAAAGAAAGCGUAAUAGCUCACUGGUCGAGUCGGCCUGCGCGGAAGAUGUAACGGGGCUAAACCAUGCACCGAAGCUGCGGCAGCGACACUGUGUAGUUGUUGGGUAGGGAGCGUUCUGUAAGCCUGUGAAGGUGUGCUGUGAGGCAUGCUGGAGGUAUCAGAAGUGCGAAUGCUGACAUAAGUAACGAUAAAGCGGGUGAAAAGCCCGCUCGCCGGAAGACCAAGGGUUCCUGUCCAACGUUAAUCGGGCAGGGUGAGUCGACCCCUAAGGCGAGGCCGAAAGGCGUAGUCGAUGGGAAACAGGUUAAUAUUCCUGUACCUUGGUGUUACUGCGAAGGGGGGACGGAGAAGGCUAUGUUGGCCGGGCGACGGUUGUCCCGGUUUAAGCGUGUAGGCUGGUUUUCCAGGCAAAUCCGGAAAAUCAAGGCUGAGGCGUGAUGACGAGGCACUACGGUGCUGAAGCAACAAAUGCCCUGCUUCCAGGAAAAGCCUCUAAGCAUCAGGUAACAUCAAAUCGUACCCCAAACCGACACAGGUGGUCAGGUAGAGAAUACCAAGGCGCUUGAGAGAACUCGGGUGAAGGAACUAGGCAAAAUGGUGCCGUAACUUCGGGAGAAGGCACGCUGAUAUGUAGGUGAAGUCCCUCGCGGAUGGAGCUGAAAUCAGUCGAAGAUACCAGCUGGCUGCAACUGUUUAUUAAAAACACAGCACUGUGCAAACACGAAAGUGGACGUAUACGGUGUGACGCCUGCCCGGUGCCGGAAGGUUAAUUGAUGGGGUCAGCGCAAGCGAAGCUCUUGAUCGAAGCCCCGGUAAACGGCGGCCGUAACUAUAACGGUCCUAAGGUAGCGAAAUUCCUUGUCGGGUAAGUUCCGACCUGCACGAAUGGCGUAAUGAUGGCCAGGCUGUCUCCACCCGAGACUCAGUGAAAUUGAACUCGCUGUGAAGAUGCAGUGUACCCGCGGCAAGACGGAAAGACCCCGUGAACCUUUACUAUAGCUUGACACUGAACAUUGAGCCUUGAUGUGUAGGAUAGGUGGGAGGCUUUGAAGUGUGGACGCCAGUCUGCAUGGAGCCGACCUUGAAAUACCACCCUUUAAUGUUUGAUGUUCUAACGUGGACCCGUGAUCCGGGUUGCGGACAGUGUCUGGUGGGUAGUUUGACUGGGGCGGUCUCCUCCUAAAGAGUAACGGAGGAGCACGAAGGUUGGCUAAUCCUGGUCGGACAUCAGGAGGUUAGUGCAAUGGCAUAAGCCAGCUUGACUGCGAGCGUGACGGCGCGAGCAGGUGCGAAAGCAGGUCAUAGUGAUCCGGUGGUUCUGAAUGGAAGGGCCAUCGCUCAACGGAUAAAAGGUACUCCGGGGAUAACAGGCUGAUACCGCCCAAGAGUUCAUAUCGACGGCGGUGUUUGGCACCUCGAUGUCGGCUCAUCACAUCCUGGGGCUGAAGUAGGUCCCAAGGGUAUGGCUGUUCGCCAUUUAAAGUGGUACGCGAGCUGGGUUUAGAACGUCGUGAGACAGUUCGGUCCCUAUCUGCCGUGGGCGCUGGAGAACUGAGGGGGGCUGCUCCUAGUACGAGAGGACCGGAGUGGACGCAUCACUGGUGUUCGGGUUGUCAUGCCAAUGGCACUGCCCGGUAGCUAAAUGCGGAAGAGAUAAGUGCUGAAAGCAUCUAAGCACGAAACUUGCCCCGAGAUGAGUUCUCCCUGACCCUUUAAGGGUCCUGAAGGAACGUUGAAGACGACGACGUUGAUAGGCCGGGUGUGUAAGCGCAGCGAUGCGUUGAGCUAACCGGUACUAAUGAACCGUGAGGCUUAACCUU